UACAGAGGUCCCAAGCGUUGUUCGGAUUCACUGGGCGUAAAGGGUGCGUAGGUGGUCGGGUAAGUUUGAUGUGAAAGCUCCGAGCUUAACUCGGAAAUUGCAUUGAAUACUAUUCGGCUAGAGGGUUGGAGGGGGGACUGGAAUUCUCGGUGUAGCAGUGAAAUGCGUAGAUAUCGAGAGGAACACCAGUGGCGAAGGCGAGUCCCUGGACAACUCCUGACACUGAGGAACGAAAGCUAGGGGAGCAAACAGG
rnacentral:rRNA from 1 species